UUCGUUCUCACCCGUGCCCUAAACACCGAUUUCUCUCCUCCCCUCUCGCGAGCGCCGACCACCUACUCCUCUUCCCCAUCUCCUCUUCCCGUCUCUGCCCUAGAGCCUCUGCCCCAAUUUCCCCUCUCCGACUCCACCGCUCGACGCUGACCACGCCACCGUUCGCACCCGAUCUUCCGCCUCUUCCUUCCGAUCACGCCGAUGACACUCGAGCCACAGCCGACCAAGUUUCUACUUUCAUGUCUCUAAGUCCUCUUCCUUUCGGCCACCUACCAGUGCCCUAGUUUUUGAUCGAUGUUGUCGGUGCACUGAUCUUCAUUCUCCAACCGAUUGCUGCCUGAUCUGCCCUCCAACCGACGUUGUGGAUCCGCCCUGACGAUGAGACAUCAACGCAGACACUGUUAGUCGUUGUCGAUCUACACAGUCGUCUUUUCCCCGAGCUGACGCCGAGUUUCCUUCCAAUCAGUUGAGCGUCAACAGAAGCUUUGGGUUGGAUCUUGACUUAGUGCUGAUUUGGAGUGUUUGUUUGGGAAGACAGCAACCUUACCCAGUUCUAGCCACAAAUUUCGACAACUAUUACUCUGGCCGCAAGUCAACGGAAGAGCGUACUGAUUUAAGACGUUGACUCGAGACAGGCGUCUCGACGUAGGAUUUCUAGAUACGAUCUUCUUUUUGAGGCAGGUAGCAGGUAGAUUUUUGGUGUCGCUUGGAGUAUCCUAUCUGCCGAUUCUCACGUCACAUCCAAAGACCUAUUUCUAGUUUUCAUUUGCACUUUAUUUGGUCUAUAUUUUUGGUUUACUUAGCAAUGUAAAUUUAGGUUUUGAUUUCGGAGUGUUGUUAUGUGGUAUUUUUGUUUGAUUAUUGUGUUGUGUAAGCCUAGUCAGCUAGCAGUCUUGUUUUUGGUUUGUAAUGGUUUUCUAUCUUUUUCCACUGUGUUUUGUUUUUAGUACAGCCGUGUGGGUUGUUUAGUAUAUAUAAUGACAUAGUUAUGUUUUUAGUACAGUCGUGUGGGUUGUUUAAUAUAUAACUGCGUGGUUGUGUAUAUUUUCCAACCGUGUGUGACUGAUGUAUACAUGUGGUUGUAUAAAUAUUUCAGAUUGUCACGUGUACAGGGGAGAUGCUGCCAGAUUUUUCCUCUGGCUGGGACUCCUCUGGGGCGUGACAUGGAAAAACUAAUAUUGUGCAAAAAUUGGGACUCAAGUCUAA